rnacentral:rRNA from 1 species
UGGGGAAUAUUGCACAAUGGAGGGAACUCUGAUGCAGCGACGCCGCGUGAACGAAGAAGGCUUUCGAGUCGUAAAGUUCUUUUAUAUGGGAAGAUAAUGACGGUACCAUAAGAAAAAGCCCCGGCUAACUACGUGCCAGCAGCCGCGGUAAUACGUAGGGGGCUAGCGUUGUCCGGAAUCACUGGGCGUAAAGGGUUCGCAGGCGGAAAUGCAAGUCAGGUGUAAAAGGCAGUAGCUUAACUACUGUAAGCAUUUGAAACUGCAUAUCGUGAGAAGAGUAGAGGUAAGUGGAAUUUUUAGUGUAGCGGUGAAAUGCGUAGAUAUUAAAAAGAAUACCGGUGGCGAAGGCGACUUACUGGGCUCAUGCUGACGCUGAGGAACGAAAGCGUGGGUAGCAAACAGG